rnacentral:snRNA from 1 species
GGAUGUGAGGGCGAUCUGGCUGCGACAUCUGUCACCCCAUUGAUCGCCAGGGUUGAUUCCGGUGAUCUGGCUGGGUAGGCUGGUGUCCCCUUCCUCUCUCACAGCUCCAUGUGCAUCCCUCCCUAAGAGGACGGCCUUCCCCAAUAGACACAGACCAGUCUUUGGGUGAGUAGCUGCACUCCCCUGGUAGAACUUCCAGACAAGCUCUCAAGGACAGAGAGAAAUGAAGAGGAAGGGAAGACAGAGAGGGGGAGAGAAAGACACCUACAGACCUGCUUCACCACUUGUGAAGCGACU